ACGCAUUAAGUAACCCGCCUGNGGAGUACGGUCGCAAGACUAAAACUCAAAGGAAUUGNCGGGGGCCCGCACAAGCGGUGGAGUAUGUGGUUUAAUUCGAAGCAACGCGCAGAACCUUACCUGGGUUUGACAUCCCGUGACCGGUGCAGAGAUGUACCCUUCCCUUCGGGGACACGGAGACAGGUGCUGCAUGGCUGUCGUCAGCUCGUGUCGUAAGAUGUUGGGUUAAGUCCCGCAACGAGCGCAACCCUUGUCCUUAGUUGCCAACAUCAAGUUGGGCACUCUGAGGAGACUGCCGGUGUUAAACCGGAGGAAGGCGGGGAUGACGUCAAGUCCCCAUGGCCCUUACAUCCAGGGCUACACACUGUACUACAAUGGCAGAGACAAAGGGUCGCCUAACCGCGAGGUGAAGCUAAUCCCAAAAACACUGUCUCA
rnacentral:rRNA from 1 species